GCGUCUCCUUCGGCCAUUGCCCAAAUUCAUUUUUUCCAUAGGGAAUUUUUAGAACCACUUCAAAUAAGCGGUCACUCUCAUUCAGUUGCGCUUCUGAAAAGAAGUAGAUGCAGGAGUCGAAAGGCAGAGCUGACGCUGUUUUAUAGUUUCGCUCAACGCUGCACGGGUAACGCCACAUCAGACCAGCCCUUGGAGUCUUCAAAGUUCAAUUCCUUUAGUAGAUGCAGAAUCCAUCACGCUACACUUGGAAAGUUGUGAUGUAUGCUUAUGCAAGUAGUUAACACUGCACCGCUUUUACAUAAAACGGGGACAUCCUUAGGCCAUUCAGGGGACCAUUCAGGGAAACAUUCAGGGGACCAUGACGCAAUCUCCUACAUUUCCAGGGACAUCCUAAUGGCAGCAGUUUGGUUGUGCAGAGCUGUUCCCUUCCAACCCAAGCAGAUAGCCUAAUGUAGUUCUAGCUAUUAAACUUAACAUAAAUAAAGAAUGUU